AAGCGGUGGAGCAUGUGGUUUAAUCGUAAGCAACGCGAAGAACCUUACCAGGUCUUGACAUCCCGAUGCUAUUUCUAGAGAUAGAAAGUUACUUCGGUACAUCGGUGACAGGUGGUGCAUGGUUGUCGUCAGCUCGUGUCGUGAGAUGUUGGGUUAAGUCCCGCAACGAGCGCAACCCCUAUUGUUAGUUGCCAUCAUUCAGUUGGGCACUCUAGCGAGACUGCCGGUAAUAAACCGGAGGAAGGUGGGGAUGACGUCAAAUCAUCAUGCCCCUUAUGACCUGGGCUACACACGUGCUACAAUGGUUGGUACAACGAGUUGCGAGUCGGUGACGGCGAGCUAAUCUCUUAAAGCCAAUCUCAGUUCGGAUUGUAGGCUGCAACUCGCCUACAUGAAGUCGGAAUCGCUAGUAAUCGCGGAUCAGCACGCCGCGGUGAAUACGUUCCCGGGCCUU
rnacentral:rRNA from 1 species